rnacentral:lncRNA from 1 species
AUAAAAUGACUUUGUGUCAGGAAUUUUUAACUAUGAAUUAUAUCCAAAGAGCAAGAAUCGUGGAACACAUUGGUACAAAUAUAACUGGAUUAACCAAUUGACACAAGCACGAACUUGUUAGAUUUAUGACAGUAUAUUGAGUUCAAAAAGUCGGCAAACAUACACUUAGAUUUACCCAUGGCUAUUGUUUUUUUGUUAACAAAAAGCAAACACCUUCUGUCCCAAUACCCUCAAUAGAGUCAUUAAACAACUUCUUUUUUGUUUAGUUCGUGUUUUACAUAUUAAUUAUAUUUGCAUCUAUAAGAAGAAUCAUAAAAGCACCAACCCUAUUAUUUUCAAAACUGUUUGAGUUUUCAUUUUAUUCUGUACUCAUAAUUCUUGUGUUGCAUACCAAUGCAUAUUUGUUCCAUUUUAUGGAGACAAAAAAACAUAAAUUUGGUGAAGGAAGUCCAACUGAAGAGAGCAUUUCUCGUAUGUUUAUGCCGUUUACUAAAAAUAGGUUGCUAAAGCAGCAAUUACAUGUAGAACCGUGAGUGGUUGUCAACACUAGAUUUUUAUUUAAGAUUUGAAAAAUUAUGUACGAUUCCUUAUAAAUACGUAUAGAUUAUAACAUGCCCUUUUCCAUAUUGGCCCUGGUAUCAUCCCGAGACUCCCAUAUCGGCCUCGAGGCUUUAGCCGAGGGCCGAUAUGGGUCGAGGGAUGAUACCCGGGCCAAUAUGGAAAAGACAUGUUAUAAUCUUUUUAUCAC